AUACCGUAAUUAGUGUACAAGUGGUUUGCAGCAGAACAAAAGGUGGAAAUGUUCUCCUGUUACAGAGAAUGCAUUGCACCUAGACAAAGGGCACCUGGAUUUGUUAGGCGCUAUUACACCUUAAGCCAGCAGAUGUUUUUGCUUGAGGGAUGGGACCUUUAUACCCAGGUGAGUUUCAGUUAUCCUGGAAACAGGUGGGGAUGUUAAUUGUUAUAAUAAUGAAGGGUUCUGGGUCUUUAGCAACCCACCUCCUUUCCCACCACUUGCACUGUUUUCAGUCUAUGGAGGCAAUUGGAUGGCAUCUUGAAACACCUCAUGCUGGUCAUUUAUGUAGUAUGGAUGCUGCCUCUUUGCAGUCAGAACAAUUAUUGUGUUCUCAGGAUCAUCGCUCAUCCAUGGAUGCAGAAGCCAAUGAGCUGCCUGGUAUUCCCCCAAAAGAUUCAGCCAAGAAAUUUACAAAAGCUCCACUGAAAAAGAACCGUAAAGCUUGGCAUCGGAAGGGUAACCGUCGUUCCAUGGGGUUUUCAUCCAAGUCAGUGACUGAUGUUCACCAAGACCCAUAUGACCUUGAAGUUGAUCGGUACUAUUAUCAAAUCAACUGGCCAGAAGCGGUGCGACAGAAGUGGGCAAUGGAGAAAGCAAACUUGGAAAAGAAUCUGAGCGUGCUCAUUAGUGAAGACUCAGCUGUUGUUAUAAGUGACAAACUUGAUAUAGACCCUGGAGACUCAGCUAUAGAAGGGGACUCUUGGGAUGUCACUGAAAUGGUAUCAAAAUAAAGAUGCUUCCAUGAUAAAAGGAUAUAGAAUUACACUGGUUCUUGGCGUGAAACCAUAGUCUGACUUGCUGCAUUGACGCAUUCUGGUCUCGUGCCCACCAACAUUUCCAUAAAACGCAUGAGGCCAACUAACACCAGCAUGCAAUUAUAAGGGACCAAAUAUUAUUAAUGGGGAAGAACAUGCACCCCAAGAAUUGCAAAUCUUUUAUCAGGCAUGCUGGAAUAUUGCGAGCAUCAUUGAUCUUCGUUCUCCCUCUCCCCGCUGCUUUAAAUAUAAAAAUGAUGGGAGUGGAGAUUAAUCUAAUGGUACCUUUAGGACUGAUUUAUU
rnacentral:lncRNA from 11 species